rnacentral:rRNA from 1 species
UAGCAGCGACACCGUGAGGUAGAGCAAAUCACAAAACUCGGUCUCAGUUCAGAUUGCAGGCUGCAACUCGCCUGCAUGAAGUUGGAAUUGCUAGUAAUCGCGAAUCAGAACGUCGCGGUGAAUACGUUCCCGGGUCUUGUACACACCGCCCGUCACACCAUGAGAGUUGAGAAUACCCGAAGCCCAUGUCAAAGUGGUCGAAGGUAGGCUUGAUGAUUGGGGUGAAGUCGUAACAAGGUACC